rnacentral:rRNA from 1 species
GACAGAGGGUGCAAACGUUGUUCGGAAUUACUGGGCGUAAAGCGCGUGUAGGCGGCCCUGCAAGUCGGAUGUGAAAUCCCACGGCUCAACCGUGGAAGUGCAUUCGAAACUGCAGGGCUAGAGUCCUGGAGAGGAAGGUGGAAUGCUUGGUGUAGAGGUGAAAUUCGUAGAUAUCAAGCGGAACACCGGUGGCGAAGGCGGCCUUCUGGACAGUGACUGACGCUGAGACGGCGAAAGCGUGGGGAGCAAACAGGG